GCCCUUAUAGCGUAGUGGUUAUCGCGUCGGUUUUCGGCAUCGCUGGACCGCCGAAGGUCCUGGGUUCAAGUCCCAGUGUGGGUU
rnacentral:tRNA from 1 species